rnacentral:rRNA from 1 species
UAUGUGAUCGUCUCUUGCAUAUCAAUAAGCGGAGGAAAAGAAACUAACAAGGAUUCCCCUAGUAACGGCGAGUGAAGCGGGAAGAGCUCAAAUUUGAAAUCUUAAAGGGUUUCCCUUUACGAAUUGUAGUUUAAAGAAGUGUUUUCUGUUGAGGUUUUGGUAAAAGUUCUUUGGAAUAGGACAUCAUAGAGGGUGAGAAUCCCGUAUUUGACCUUUACUUUCAACUUUGUGAUACACUUUCAAAGAGUCGGAUUGUUUGGGAAUGCAGUCCAAAAUGGGUGGUAAAUUUCAUCUAAAGCUAAAUAUUGGCGAGAGACCGAUAGCGAACAAGUACCGUGAGGGAAAGAUGAAAAGAACUUUGAAAAGAGAGUUAAACAGUACGUGAAAUUGUCAAAAGGGAAGCGUUUGACACCAGUGUUGUUUUUCUGAAAAUCAAUUAAAGAACUGUUUAUGCUAAGUUGUUUAGACUUUAUCAGCUAUCUGUUUAGUUUUGAGCUUUUCUUUAAUGCACUUUUCAGUUAACAAGUCAACAUCAAUUUCUUUUGCUGUAAAAAAGCUUGAGGAAGGUGGCUUGAGAUUCGUCUUAAGUGUUUAUAGCCUCUUGCCUAUGCAGUCGGAGAGAUUGAGGUCUGCAGCGUAGAUCCUUCGGGGCUAAAUGCAUUUGUGCUAAGUUAUAGCAUUUUAUAGACAACUUGUUGACUAUGAUUUGUCUUGUAGCUUACUCGCUUAUGUUAUUUUACCUACGCUUAGGAUGUUGAUAUGCAUGACUGAUAU